rnacentral:sRNA from 1 species
CAUGGCCGAGGUGUUGGCCAACGUCGAUGCGGCUUCGUCCGGGCUGCCCGAGCUGAUUGGCGAACUUGCACGCGGGUGAUUGUCAUCGGGGCAUAAGCUUUGCAUACUCGGCGCGUACGCACCGCCGUACACCACCCAUUAAUUAUUGCAAAGGUCUCGCAUCACCAUGCCGAACGGUACCGUCAAGUGGUUCAACGACGCCAAGGGAUUUGGCUUCAUCUCACCGGAGGACGGCAGCGCCGAUGUCUUCGCGCACUUCUCCGCGAUCAAUUCCAAGGGCUUCCGCAGCCUGCAGGAAGGCCAGCGCGUCAGUUAUGACGUGACCCAGGGCCCCAAGGGUGCCCAGGCUUCGAACAUCACGCCGGUCGAGUAAUCUGACUCGAUUGUGCGGUUGAAGAACCCCGCCACGGCGGGGUUUUUUUU